rnacentral:rRNA from 1 species
AACGAACGCUGGCGGCAGGCUUAACACAUGCAAGUCGAGCGCCCGCAAGGGAGCGGCAGACGAGUGAGUAACGCGUGGGAAUCUACCUAGUUCUACGGAACAACACAGGGAAACUUGUGCUAAUACCGUAUACGCCCUACGGGGGAAAGAUUUAUCGGAAUUAGAUGAGCCCGCGUUGGAUUAGCUAGUUGGUGGGGUAAUGGCCUACCAAGGCGACGAUCCAUAGCUGGUCUGAGAGGAUGAUCAGCCACACUGGGACUGAGACACGGCCCAGACUCCUACGGGAGACAGCAGUGGGGAAUAUUGGACAAUGGGCGCAAGCCUGAUCCAGCCAUGCCGCGUGAGUGAUGAAGGCCCUAGGGUUGUAAAGCUCUUUCACCGGUGAAGAUAAUGACGGUAACCGGAGAAGAAGCCCCGGCUAACUUCGUGCCAGCAGCCGCGGUAA